UAGGGAAUCCUCGGCAAUGGACGAAAGUCUGACCGAGCAACGCCGCGUGAGUGAAGAAGGUUUUCGGAUCGUAAAACUCUGUUGUUAGAGAAGAACAAGGGUGAGAGUAACUGUUCACCCCUUGACGGUAUCUAACCAGAAAGCCACGGCUAACUACGUGCCAG
rnacentral:rRNA from 1 species